AAGCUGAGGGAGCCGGCUCCCGCCUUGGCCAGCCCAGCAAGGGGCCCCACAGUGCAGUGGUGGGCUGAAGGGCUCCCCAAGUGCCGCCAAAGUCGGAGCCCAGGCAGAGGAGGCACCGAGAGCGAGUGAGGGCUGUGAAGACUGCCAGAACGCUGUCACCUCUCAGUGGCAGGAAGGAGAAGUGCCAAGCAGAAAGAGGAAAAGCCCCAUAUGAAACCAUCAGAUUUUAUGAGAACAGCAUGGAGGAACAAUGGUUUCCACUAGAGGAUAGUUAUUAACACCUCGAGGAUAACUACUGCUUGUGAUGGCACUACCAAGAUACCCCAACUCUGGUACGUGCUUUCUAGAGUCAGCUCCAAAUAUAUAAACUGCUAUACAAAGAUAAGGAUUUCUCUAGGGAGAAUUUGUACCACUCUGCAAAGACACUAAUGAGGCAGACCAAGAGCUGACAGACUUAUGCCAGG